rnacentral:rRNA from 1 species
CUACGGGUUGCUCCAGUGGGGAAUAUUGGACAAUGGGGGAAACCCUGAUCCAGCAAUGCCGCGUGUGUGAAGAAGGCCUGCGGGUUGUAAAGCACUUUCGGUUGGGAGGACUGCUUCUAGCACUAAUAUUGUUGGAAGUUGACGUUACCUUCAGAAGAAGCACCGGCUAACUCCGUGCCAGCAGCCGCGGUAAUACGGAGGGUGCAAGCGUUAAUCGGAAUUACUGGGCGUAAAGCGCGCGUAGGCGGCUAGAUCAGUCGGGUGUGAAAGCCCCGGGCUUAACCUGGGAACUGCAUCCGAUACUGUCUAGCUUGAGUACAGGAGAGGGGAGUGGAAUUCCACAUGUAGCGGUGAAAUGCGUAGAUAUGUGGAGGAACACCAAUGGCGAAGGCAGCUCUCUGGCCUGAUACUGACGCUGAGGUGCGAAAGCGUGGGGGGCAAACAGGAUUAGAUACCCUAGUAGUC